AGUCACUGGCGACGGUCUAUCAAUAAAUGUUAACACGCGAUGUAUUACAUAGGCUUAUUGCUUAUUUUUAAACCGUCACUACAUUACUAAAUCUACAAUUGCUUAGACUUAUGAUUAUAGCUGUUAAUAGUCAAACGGUGCACUGUAAAAAAUGCUGGGAAAAUUGACAGAGUAAAAUGAGAUCAUCCUUUUAUUGGUAAAUUUUCACCCGAUAUGUGGAUAAAAAUAGUAGUUGGGCAAAUAAUCAAUGUGACCAACAUUGGCACAAAUGCUUGUCUUAUACGUUGGGAGAAAUAUACCCAUUUAAUGGUUAUUACCUCAAGUUGACCAUCGGUUGGGUUAUGAAUCAUAUGCAAUCGUCCAAGAAUUGGGUAAAAAUUAUGCAUGCACAGCAAUAGCUCAAAAAGUGGGUAGAGUUUGGACCACAUGACAGAAAACUUCCAACCAACUGGCAAGGUAUCACACAUAGACACGGCGCGCCGAUCGGAACCAGCUUUGGACGCUUUGCUCGAAGAAUGGGGCCUUGAAUCAUUAAAAGAAACGUUUAAUGGUAAGAACUAAAGUUUAUAAUUAUAUCUUUCCCAAGCAAUUAACCUUUUUUAGUAUUCUUAUUUGAGUAUUUGUCUAAUGUGCCCUCCAGUAUACCUCCCUUAUCUACGGCUGGCAUAGGCCGGAUGCACAUGUGAGGCAGGUGGGCCAUAGGACUAUUUCUCCUCACAGGCCCCAAGGUGGGGCCUGUCUAGGCCAAGCACCCUGGCCUAUGUUUUAUGUCAAAGUAGGGCUAUGAUAUUAUAAAUAAGAGAAAAAAGGCUUCAAAAUAUUCCAUUAUCCACAUUUAAUACCGGUAGUUUACAAUAUGAUGCUUCAAACAAAAAUGUGAGGUCUCGCCACAAAAUGAGUCUCAUGGUUGAAAAUUGAAAAAUUGAGUUUCAGUAAGGUGAAUAAAGUUGUUUAGAGAGUUUAUAGUAGCAAGAAAUGCUGUGGAAUGAUCAAAGAGGAGGGAUAACAAUGAUAUUGGCUGUUAUUAGUGUUUUCAAAAUUGUAGUAUUUGAAGAAAAUUAUGCAGCAAUGUUUUAUUUUCCUGCAGCAAAUGAUCCUAAGCAGUCACUGGCAGUUGAAAGUGUUGAAGUUACAGACGAUAUUAAUAUGAAGGUACAAUGGUUGAACGAUAACUUAGAACCAAAAAAGCAGGUACAGCAGUUCAUGGCGACCACUUUUAACUACUGAAUAGAAUGGAUACAGGAUAAACAGCGAUCCGUUUCAGAUAUACUAAAAGAUUUCCCAAGACUUCUGGAUAACGAUAUGAUUGACCAGGACUUUAGAUCUUCAUAUCCUGAAGCUGCUGAUCGAAUGUAUGAGAAAUGGAAUGCCAUGGUUGAUCCGAUUUGUGAGUAUGGAAUCAGGAUGUGCCCACUUUGGAAGGAAAUGCUUGACUUUUCAAGAUAGCACAGACUUAGUGUCUUUGACUACAGCAAAUAAUUAAUGUUCAAGCGUACGUGGAUAGCAUAAAUCCAGAAACCCACAGACAACCAUUCAUAUUGGCACUUGGUGACAAAGUACAUCCAUCGGACCAGUUCAUAAUAAUCGAAAAUAAGGUCAUUCAGCAGCCAUCUCUUUUUAAA